GCAUUGGUGGUUCAGUGGUAUAAUUCUCACCUUCCAUGUGGGAGACCCGGGUUUGAUUCCCGGCCAAAACA
rnacentral:tRNA from 1 species